rnacentral:rRNA from 1 species
GAUCAUGGCUCAGGAUGAACGCUGGCGGCGUGCUUGACACAUGCAAGUCGAGCGAUGAAGUUUCCUUCGGGAAAUGGAUUAGCGGCGGACGGGUGAGUAACACGUGGGUAACCUGCCUCAUAGAGUGGAAUAGCCUUUCGAAAGGAAGAUUAAUACCGCAUAACGUUGAAAGAUGGCAUCAUCAUUCAACCAAAGGAGCAAUCCGCUAUGAGAUGGACCCGCGGCGCAUUAG